rnacentral:rRNA from 1 species
AAGGACUUAACAGUCCACCGAAAGAGGAGCCUGCGGCCCAUCAGCUAGUUGGUGAGGUAAUGGCUUACCAAGGCUACGACGGGUAGGGGGCGUGAGAGCGCGUUCCCCCAGAAUGGGACUGAGACACGGCCCAUACACCUACGGGUGGCAGCAACCGGGAAUAGUACGCAAUGGACGAAAGUCUGACGUCGCGACGCCGCGUGGAGGAUGAAGGCCUAAGGGUCGUAAACUCCUUUUGCCAGAUGGGAGACCAUCUGGAGAAUAAGUAACUGCUAACUCUGUGCCAGCAGCAGCGGUAAUACAGAGGUUACAAGCAUUGUCCGGAAUCACUGGGCGUAAAGCGUUUCGCAGGUGUUCUUUUAAGUUACGUUUGAAAGACCGGGGCUCAACUUCGGGAACGGGCGUAGUACUGGAAGAAUUGAAGGGUAUCGGGGCUAUUGGAACUGUCGGUGUAGGGGUGAAAUCCGUUAAUAUCGACAGGAACUCCGAGGGCGUAGGCAGAUAGCUAGGUACCUCUUGACACUCAUGAACGAAAGCUAGGGGAGCGAAAGGGAUUAGAGACCUCUGUAGUCCUAGCCGUAAACUUUGCUCGCUAGCUUUCCCUAUUUUAUAGGGGGGGCGUAAGCUAACGCGUGAAGCGAGCCGCCUGGGGAGUACGAUCGCAAGAUUAAAACUCAAAGGAAUUGACGG